AAAAGGGGAAGGAAGGGAUUAGAGGAGAUCUGCUCAGCUGUGGAUCCACAGAAGGCAGGGUCGGUGAUGACCUCCACCAUGGCCUGGUUCCCUCUUCUCCUCACCCUUCUCAUCCACUGCACAGGUUCCUGGGCCCAGUCUGUGCUGACUCAGCCUCCCUUAGUAUCUGGGGCCCUGGGCCAGACGGUCACCAUCUCUUGCACUGGAAGCAGCAGUAACAUCGGUAUUGUUGGUGUGAACUGGUACCAACAGCUUCCAGGAAAGGCCCCUAAAGUCCUCAUCUAUGCUAAUAACAGACGACCCUCAAGUGUUCCUGACAGAUUUUCUGGCUCCAAGUCUGGCAACACCGGCUCCUUGACCAUCACUGGGCUCCAGGCUGAGGAUGAGGCUGAUUAUUACUGCCUGUCUGCUGGCAUUACUCAAGGUGCUGACACAGUGCUCCAGGCCUGUGGGGAAUUGGAUCCAUUGUGGAUCGAUCCUGAUUCCCUCUUUGGCUCCAUGUCUAGCAACUCUGGCUCCCAGGUCUUCACUGGGCUGAGGGCUGAGGGCUGA